AUCCUUUUGUAGUUCGUAAGUAUGAUGAUUGGGUUUUCACAUGCAUGUGUGAGACAUGCCUCUUUCAAACCUUGUUACGAGGUCAGCACAUUACUCAUCUGACG